rnacentral:rRNA from 1 species
UGGCAGUCAGAGGCGAUGAAGGACGUGCUAAUCUGCGAUAAGCGCCGGUAAGGUGAUAUGAACCGUUAUAACCGGCGAUUUCCGAAUGGGGAAACCCAGUGUGACUCGUCACACUAUCAUUAACUGAAUCCAUAGGUUAAUGAGGCGAACCGGGGGAACUGAAACAUCUAAGUACCCCGAGGAAAAGAAAUCAACCGAGAUUCCCCCAGUAGCGGCGAGCGAACGGGGAGGAGCCCAGAGCCUGAAUCAGCAUGUGUGUUAGUGGAAGCGUCUGGAAAGGCGCGCGAUACAGGGUGACAGCCCCGUACACAAAACGCAUGUGCUGUGAGCUCGAUGAGUAGGGCGGGACACGUGGUAUCCUGUCUGAAUAUGGGGGGACCAUCCUCCAAGGCUAAAUACUCCUGACUGACCGAUAGUGAACCAGUACCGUGAGGGAAAGGCGAAAAGAACCCCGGCGAGGGGAGUGAAAAAGAACCUGAAACCGUGUACGUACAAGCAGUGGGAGCCCCACCACCAAAGCAUUCUCUGGUGUUGAAGGCCCUGCAAAGCAGCAUCGCGGUGGCGGAGCGUCGUUUGCGACGCCCAACACACAAAACAAGCGGUGAGUGCUUUGGGGUGGGGUGACUGCGUACCUUUUGUAUAAUGGGUCAGCGACUUAUAUUCUGUAGCAAGGUUAACCGCAUAGGGGAGCCGUAGGGAAACCGAGUCUUAACCGGGCGUUAAGUUGCAGGGUAUAGACCCGAAACCCGGUGAUCUAGCCAUGGGCAGGUUGAAGGUUGGGUAACACUAACUGGAGGACCGAACCGACUAAUGUUGAAAAAUUAGCGGAUGACCUGUGGCUGGGGGUGAAAGGCCAAUCAAACCGGGAGAUAGCUGGUUCUCCCCGAAAGCUAUUUAGGUAGCGCCUCGUGAACUCAUCUCCGGGGGUAGAGCACUGUUUCGGCUAGGGGGCCAUCCCGGCUUACCAACCCGAUGCAAACUGCGAAUACCGGAGAAUGUUAUCACGGGAGACACACGGCGGGUGCUAACGUCCGUCGUGAAGAGGGAAACAACCCAGACCGCCAGCUAAGGUCCCAAAGUCAUGGUUAAGUGGGAAACGAUGUGGGAAGGCCCAGACAGCCAGGAUGUUGGCUUAGAAGCAGCCAUCAUUUAAAGAAAGCGUAAUAGCUCACUGGUCGAGUCGGCCUGCGCGGAAGAUGUAACGGGGCUAAACCAUGCACCGAAGCUGCGGCAGCGAACGUAUCACCCAAGACAACUUUACGGAGUUGACGAUUGACGGAGCGAAGCGACGUCAAAGCGUUCAUUAAAGUCGAGUUGGCUUAGGGAUACGUUCGUUGGGUAGGGGAGCGUUCUGUAAGCCUGCGAAGGUGGCCUGUGAGGGUUGCUGGAGGUAUCAGAAG